rnacentral:rRNA from 1 species
AGUGAACGCUGGCGGCAGGCCUAAUACAUGCAAGUCGAGCGAGAACCGGGGCUUCGGCCCCGGGGACAGCGGCGAACGGGUGAGUAACACGUGGAUAACCUGCCCUCGGCACCGGAAUAGCCCGGGGAAACUCGGAUUAAUGCCGGAUAGCCCCACAUCCCUGCGGGGAACGUGGGAAAAGGUAGCUUCGGCCUCUGGCCGGGGAUGGGUCCGCGGUGGAUUAGCUUGUUGGCGGGGUAACGGCCCACCAAGGCGACGAUCCAUAGCUGGUCUGAGAGGACGAUCAGCCACACUGGGACUGAGACACGGCCCAGACUCCUACGGGAGGCAGCAGUGGGGAAUCUUGCGCAAUGGGCGAAAGCCUGACGCAGCGACGCCGCGUGCGGGAAGAAGGCCUUAGGGUUGUAAACCGCUUUCAGGAGGGACGAAGCCACUCGGGUUAAUAGCCCGGAGGGUGACGGUACCUCCAGAAGAAGCCCCGGCUAACUACGUGCCAGCAGCCGCCGUAAAAC